CCUACGGGAGGCAGCAGUGGGGAAUAUUGGACAAUGGGCGAAAGCCUGAUCCAGCCAUGCCGCGUGUGUGAAGAAGGCCUUCGGGUUGUAAAGCACUUUCAGUGGGGAAGAAAGCCUUGGGGCUAAUACCCUCGAGGAAGGACAUCACCCACAGAAGAAGCACCGGCUAACUCCGUGCCAGCAGCCGCGGUAAUACGGAGGGUGCGAGCGUUAAUCGGAAUUACUGGGCGUAAAGCGCGCGUAGGCGGUCUGAUAAGCCGGUUGUGAAAGCCCCGGGCUCAACCUGGGAACGGCGUCCGGAACUGUCAGGCUAGAGUGCAGGAGAGGAAGGUAGAAUUCCCGGUGUAGCGGUGAAAUGCGUAGAGAUCGGGAGGAAUACCAGUGGCGAAGGCGGCCUUCUGGACUGACACUGACGCUGAGGUGCGAAAGCGUGGGUAGCAAACAGGAUUAGAUACCCAGUAGUC
rnacentral:rRNA from 1 species